GUGGGGAAUAUUGGGCAAUGGGCGCAAGCCUGACCCAGCGACGCCGCGUGGGCGAUGAAGGCCUUCGGGUUGUAAAGCCCUGUCAUGCGGAAAGAACGACCCUGUGACGCAUACUCACAGGGAGUGACGGUACCGCAGGAGGAAGCACCGGCUAACUCCGUGCCAGCAGCCGCGGUAAUACGGAGGGUGCAAGCGUUGUUCGGAAUUAUUGGGCGUAAAGGGCGCGUAGGCGGUAAUGUAAGUCAGAUGUGAAAUACUCCGGCUCAACCAGAGAAUUGCAUCUGAAACUGCAUAACUAGAGUACAGAAGAGGGAAACGGAAUUCCCGGUGUAGAGGUGAAAUUCGUAGAUAUCGGGAGGAACACCAGUGGCGAAGGCGGUUUCCUGGUCUGAUACUGACGCUGAGGCGCGAAAGCGUGGGGAGCAAACAGGAUUAGAUACCCCAGUAGUCC
rnacentral:rRNA from 1 species